rnacentral:tRNA from 1 species
GUGGACAUAGUUUAAACAAAACAUCAGGCCGUGAACCUGACAACAGAAGCUCACCCC